GGAGGUGCAACAUGGUGAUCUCUGUAGACAUGAACCUGCUGCCUAUGUAUAUAUAAAGGCUCAUUCUAAGUUUGUACAGCUUAUUGGUCUGCUCUGGACUACAUCAUGUUGGUGAUGCGUGUGGCUGAACUCCUCCUUAUAACUGUGAUUACUGUUCAUCUCUUCAGAGCUCCAGGGAACCAGAGACCACCUGAUGACAACACUGUGAAUUGUAAUGCAAAUGGACAAGACGUUACAGUGAACUAUGAAAACGUCACAGUGCCUUCUGUUUCUGUCACACUCCCCUGAUCAACACCCUCCACACCAACAUCAACUGAGAACUGUUAAACAUGUCUUUGCAGCAUUAUUUUAUGCUGAAAACAUAAAUCCUAAUAUCAUUUGAGGUCUCAGAUGACGUGUUGUUUAAUGUACUGAUGUGGAGAAAAAAAGUUGAUGUUGUGUUAAACCAGUUCUCACUUGCAGCCAGAUAUUAAAGCAUUAAUUUUAUCUCAUUUUAAGAAUGUUGCUGUACAUUUAAGGACGUUUUGUUUUUUCCUGUAUCAGUUCUGAAAUAACACAACUUCAGACGACUUUCUCAGGGCGUCAUCCAUUUGAUUUUAGGUCUGCAUUUUUCUGAUUGCCUUUUCAAUUUGUGAAUAGCUCAUCAUGACUUUACUUUAUGUGUAGAAUAACUCAUUUAAUCCAUGUUUAUAUGGCAAUGUUGCUUUGGAGUCCACUGUGUGUGUGCUUGUCUUGCAGAGUAAGUUUUUCUUCAUUAUAAUUGAUUAAAUGA